GGAGAGAUGGAUGAGCGGUUUAAGUCGCACGCCUGGAAAGCGUGUAAGGGUUAACAGCCCUUCGGGGGUUCGAAUCCCCCUCUCUCCG
rnacentral:tRNA from 1 species